UUUUAAUUUUUUUCUUACAGUUUACUUGUUGCAAUGAUGCCCUUGAUCAUCUAUCAUGAAAGACUAUAUACAAACUUCUAAGGUAUGACAGGCCAGUGUUUACAAGCCAUGCUUCUUACAGUGGCAAUUGCAGGAUUCACUAUAGAUACAGAUUGUACAGAAUAUACUCC